rnacentral:rRNA from 1 species
UACGGAGGGUGCAAGCGUUGUUCGGAAUUAUUGGGCGUAAAGCGCGUGUAGGUGGUUGGGUAAGUCAGAUGUGAAAGCCCUCAGCUUAACUGGGGAAGUGCAUUUGAAACUGCUUGGCUAGAGUCCGGGAGAGGAGAGUGGAAUUCCCGGUGUAGAGGUGAAAUUCGUAGAUAUCGGGAGGAACACCAGUGGCGAAGGCGGCUCUCUGGCCCGAUACUGACACUGAGACGCGAAAGCGUGGGUAGCAAACAGG